rnacentral:rRNA from 1 species
CCCUUAGAUGUCCGGGGCCGCACGCGCGCUACACUGAACGGAUCAGCGCGUUUUCCCUUCCCGAGAGGGACGGGUAACCUGCUGAACCCCGUUCGUGGUAGGGAUCGGGGCUUGCAAUUAUUCCCCGUGAACCAGGAAUGCCCAGUAAGUGCAAGUCAUAAGCUUGCGUUGAUUACGUCCCUGCCCUUUGUACACACCGCCCGUCGCUACUACCGAUUGAACGUUUUAGUGAGGUACUCGGACUGAGCCUCAGAAGAUUCACGUCUUUUGUGCUGCUCGGGAAGAUUCCCAAACUUGAGCGUUUAGAGGAAGUAAAAGUCGUAACA